GUGAACGCUGGCGGUAGGCCUAACACAUGCAAGUCGAACGGCAGCACAGUAAGAGCUUGCUCUUACGGGUGGCGAGUGGCGGACGGGUGAGGAAUACAUCGGAAUCUACUUUUUCGUGGGGGAUAACGUAGGGAAACUUACUCUAAUACCGCAUACGACCUACGGGUGAAAGCAGGGGAUCUUCGGACCUUGCGCGAUUGAAUGAGCCGAUGUCGGAUUAGCUAGUUGGCGGGGUAAAGGCCCACCAAGGCGACGAUCCGUAGCUGGUCUGAGAGGAUGAUCAGCCACACUGGAACUGAGACACGGUCCAGACUCCUACGGGAGGCAGCAGUGGGGAAUAUUGGACAAUGGGCGCAAGCCUGAUCCAGCCAUACCGCGUGGGUGAAGAAGGCCUUCGGGUUGUAAAGCCAUUUUGUUGGGAAAGAAAAGCAGCAGGUUAAUACCCCGCUGUUCUGACGGUACCCAAAGAAUAAGCACCGGCUAACUUCGUG
rnacentral:rRNA from 1 species